GAGUGAACGCUGGCGGUCGGCCUAACACAUGCAAGUCGAACGGCAGCACAGUAAGAGCUUGCUCUUACGGGUGGCGCGUGGCGGACGGGUGAGGAAUACAUCGGAAUCUACUUUUUCGUGGGGGAUAACGUAGGGAAACUUACGCUAAUACCGCAUACGACCUACGGGUGAAAGCAGGGGAUCUUCGGACCUUGCGCGAUUGAAUGAGCCGAUGUCGGAUUAGCUAGUUGGCGGGGUAAAGGCCCACCAAGGCGACGAUCCGUAGCUGGUCUGAGAGGAUGAUCAGCCACACUGGAACUGAGACACGGUCCAGACUCCUACGGGAGGCAGCAGUGGGGAAUAUUGGACAAUGGGCGCAAGCCUGAUCCAGCCAUACCGCGUGGGUGAAGAAGGCCUUCGGAUUGUAAAGCCCUUUUGUUGGGAAAGAAAAGCAGCAGGUUAAUACCCCGCUGUUCUGACGGUACCCAAAGAAUAAGCACCGGCUAACUUCGUG
rnacentral:rRNA from 1 species